CACAGACACACACACACACAUGCACACACACACACUCUCACUCCCCCAAACAUGUCCAUCAAGUGCUGAAGAUGCUUAGCUAGCCUGGGAUCAACUAUAUGCAAGCUGAGAGAAAGGGUUUACUCCUCAGGAGGUUCAAACUUAUCACCUAAAAAUAAAUCACCUAAAUCUGUAAAUGACAGCUCAUGCAGGAAGGAAGGGGGCUCUUUGCCAUAGAAUUAUAGACUGUUUGAGGAAAAAGGGAGGGUCAUUUGAGAACUUCCUAAUCAUCAGAACUGUCCAGCAAUGGAAUGGCUACUCUCAGGAAACAGUGAGCUUCCCGUCACUGGAGGGAGGAUCACCUGAGCCCAGGAGGUCAAGGCUUCAGUGAGCUGCGAUCUCACUGUCAGGCCUCUGAGCCCAAGCUAAGCCAUGGCAUCCCCGGUGACUUGCACGUAUACGCCCAGAUGGCCUGAAGUAACUGAAGAAUCACAAAAGAAGUGAAAAUGCCCUGCCCCGCCUUAACUGAUGACAUUCCACCACAAAAGAAGUGAAAAUGGCCGGUCCUUGCCUUAACUGAUGACAUUGUCUUGUGAAAUUCCUUCUCCUGGCUCAAAAAGCUCCUCCACUGAGCACCUUGUGACCCCCCACUCCUGCCCGCCAGAGAACAACUUUGUAAUUUUCCUUUGUAAUCCCUUUGUAAUUUUCCUUUACCUACCCAAAUCCUAUAAAACGGCCCCACCCUUACCUCCCUUCGCUGACUCUCUUUUCGGACUCAGCCCGCCUGCACCCAGGUGAUUAAAAGCUUUACUGCUCACACAAAGCCUGUUUGGUGGUCUCUUGUGAGCUGCGAUCUCACCACUGCACUCCAG
rnacentral:lncRNA from 1 species